AGUGAACGCUGGCGGUAGGCCUAACACAUGCAAGUCGAACGGCAGCACAGUAAGAGCUUGCUCUUACGGGUGGCGAGUGGCGGACGGGUGAGGAAUACAUCGGAAUCUACUUUUUCGUGGGGGAUAACGUAGGGAAACUUACGCUAAUACCGCAUACGACCUACGGGUGAAAGCAGGGGAUCUUCGGACCUUGCGCGAUUGAAUGAGCCGAUGUCGGAUUAGCUAGUUGGCGGGGUAAAGGCCCACCAAGGCGACGAUCCGUAGCUGGUCUGAGAGGAUGAUCAGCCACACUGGAACUGAGACACGGUCCAGACUCCUACGGGAGGCAGCAGUGGGGAAUAUUGGACAAUGGGCGCAAGCCUGAUGCAGCCAUACCGCGUGAGUGAAGAAGGCCUUCGGGUUGUAAAGCCCUUUUGUUGGGAAAGAAAAGCAGCAGGUUAAUACCCCGCUGUUCUGACGGUACCCAAAGAAAAAGCACCGGCUAACUUCGUG
rnacentral:rRNA from 1 species